rnacentral:rRNA from 1 species
GGGGGUGCGAGCGUUAUUCGGAAUCAUUGGGCGUAAAGGGCGCGUAGGCGGUCUCUUAAGUCAGGUGUGAAAGCCUUCCGCUUAACGGAAGAAGUGCACUUGAAACUAAGGGACUUGAGUAUGGGAGAGGGAAGUGGAAUUCCUGGUGUAGCGGUGAAAUGCGUAGAUAUCAGGAGGAACACCGGUGGCGAAGGCGACUUCCUGGACCAAUACUGACGCUGAGGCGCGAAGGCGUGGGGAGCAAACAGGAUUAGAUACCCUGGUAGUCCACGCAGUAAACGGUGAACACUAGGUGUAGUGGGUAUUGACCCCCCUGCUGUGCCCGCAGUUAACGCAUUAAGUGUUCCGCCUGGGGGAGUACGGCCGCAAGGUUA